rnacentral:rRNA from 1 species
AACAAGGUCUCCGUUGGUGAACCAGCGGAGGGAUCAUUAUCGAGUUAUUCAACUCCCAAACCCUAUGUGAACUUACCACUUGUUGCUUCGGCGCGCGCUUCGGCGCCGCCGAGGACACUUAAACUCUUUGUUUUUAUAAGCAUUUCUGAGUGGCCGAAAGGCAAAAAUACAAAUGAAUCAAAACUUUCAACAACGGAUCUCUUGGUUCUGGCAUCGAUGAAGAACGCAGCGAAAUGCGAUAAGUAAUGUGAAUUGCAGAAUUCAGUGAAUCAUCGAAUCUUUGAACGCACAUUGCGCCCGCCAGCAUUCUGGCGGGCAUGCCUGUUCGAGCGUCAUUUCAACCCUCGAGCCCGACUCUUUUGAGGACGGCUCGGCGUUGGGGGACGGCAGACUCCCCCCGGCAUCUCGCCGGGGACGCCGCCCCCGAAAUCUAGUGGCGGCCCUCCGAGGCGACCUCUGCGUAGUAACUUGUUCUCGCACCGGAAAGCUCAGAGCGGCCACGCCGUAAAACCCCAACUUUUUUCAGGUUGACCUCGAAUCAGGUAGGACUACCCGCUGAACUUGAGCAUAUCAAUAAGCGGA